rnacentral:rRNA from 1 species
UACAGAGGUCCCGAGCGUUGUUCGGAUUCAUUGGGCGUAAAGGGUGCGUAGGCGGCGCGGUAAGUCGGGUGUGAAAUCUUGGAGCUUAACUCCGAAACUGCAUUCGAUACUGCCGUGCUUUGAGGACUGGAGAGGAGACUGGAAUUUACGGUGUAGCGGUGAAAUGCGUAGAUAUCGCAAGGAAGACCAGUGGCGAAGGCGGGGUCUCUGGACAGUUCCUGACGCUGAGGCACGAAGGCCAGGGGAGCAAACGGG